rnacentral:rRNA from 1 species
UGACGUCAAGUCCUCAUGGCCUUUAUCGCUUUAGGGCUACACACGUGCUACAAUGGGUGGUACAAAGAGAAGCCAACUCGCGAGAGCGCGCCAAUCUCAAAAAGCCAUCCUCAGUUCGGAUUGGAGUCUGCAACUCGACUCCAUGAAGUUGGAAUCGCUAGUAAUCGCGGAUCAGCAUGCCGCGGUGAAUACGUUCCCGGGCCUU